GAAGGUGCAUUCAAGGGGGGCAGCCGAGAAUCGGCAUUGCAUUCAGGUGAUGUGCAGGCGAAUGACAGCAGUACACGUGAUGCUACAAGACCAUGCAUUGCACGUAUAAUUCAUGCACGUAUAUAAAAUCAAACUGCUGAUUUAAAUAUUCAGAUAUAAUAAUUAAACAAAGGUUCUGCAUACAAACAAAAGGUUGUACUGAAAUAAAUUUAAGACUACACGAAACAAAGGUUCUGGUGAAUGAAAAUUUUGAACUAAAUGUUGUAGAUAUUAAAUAAUUUAACUAAAUUUAAAUUGGACGACGUUUAGCCAUAAUCUCCUUUUGCAUCAUCUCCACCCAUUCACGCUGAAUCGUGGAAAGGGAGGUAGUGUCCGCAAACAUUAUUUCUUUCUCUUGCUUAAUCAAGUCGGCUUCGGCUCUUGUCUUCUCUGAAGCAGCUCUUGUCUUCUCUAUCUCUAGUGCUUCUCUAGCUCUUUGUUUCUCUAGCUCUAGUGCUUCCUUGU
rnacentral:lncRNA from 1 species